UCUCUCCUCUUUCUUCCAAAUUUCUUUCAUAUAUUAUUUAAUUAAUAUUUAAUACUAGUUGGUCUUCUUUUCCUUCUAGUUGGGUUUGUAAUAUUUAAUUUUGCUGAUUCUUAUAUUCUUCCUAAUAAAUGUUAGCUUGUUUAAUUUUGGAGAAAUAUUUCACACUGCUGAAAUAGUUUUUUAGGACAAUGCCCAACACGACUCAAGCCAAUUGGUAUAUUUCUGCUCAAAUUAUUUUAUUACAGUAUUAUUAUUAUUGUUAUUAUUUUCGGUGUCAUAUCCUUACAAUAUAUUUAUUGAAUUGCUAUAAAUACCGGCAUGUAUUUCACAACCCUGCAAAAGUAAAUGAUCACUUGGUCAAUUACAAUAAUACAAUUUGCACCAUAUGACAUUUGAUACAAAUAAACACAAAUUUUUAACAUGAACAAAGGUAACAAAUUCCAACUUUCUUUAUUUGGUUAGAUAAAAUAUCGGAGAAAAUAUUUUCUUAGGAAUAACAAUAUAUGUCAAUGUUAAAGCUAGUCAUAUCAAAGAAAUUCUAAAGUAGUUUGAAUUAUUUCCCUAAAAGUGAACAGUCUUAUUUAAUUUCAACAUUAUAAAGAUUUUUCUUGUUUGGUUGAAUGCGUAUUCAGCAAGAACCAAACUUAAAAAGAAAUCACAAAAAAGGGUUGUUUGCCUUCUAAUGGAAGCGCAACCCUAAAACCUAUACGGAAUAUUGCCAAUAAAUUGAUGUGUUUCCCCAUAGCAUCUCCCAGAGCUUUUCUAGCGCGGAUAAGGAUUACAAUAUACGCACACUAUAAGUACCACUCCCUUUGUUUUUAUUUAAAUAAUAGCCUUUUUUAUUAGUCCGUUAAUGAUAUAUUUAUAAAUUUGUACAUAGUUUACCUACUGAGAAUCUUGUAUAACCACACAAAUAUCAUAAUCCGCUAAAGCUUUUGUUCCUUAAGUUUUUAGGACAACAUAUUUUAAGUUUUUUUUUACGUCUUAAACUUCGUGUCAAAUUAAAUUAAAUCAUCUAAAUUGAUAGGGAUGGAGUAUAUAUAUUCAUAAGGGUCAAGCUUUUAGACUUUCAUCUUGUCGUCAUGACUAAAGUGCUGCUUUAAUUCAACAUUCAUUUUACAGUUUUUGCAAAAGCUGGUCUUUUAGAAAAGCACCCCUAUGUUAUAGAGGACAUAAAAUAAUCUAGAGAAAAACAAAAAUAAAAAUAAGGUAUUUUGGAAUACCUUUUUUUUCCUUGUCAUUUUUCUUUUCUAUCAACCUUGAACCCUUGACCUAGGGGUGUUCGAGAAACUCUCUCGACCACUAUGACCAAGAGCGGCUGAUGUCCUCUAAUGAUCAACAGCAAAAUAAUUUAAUGCAAAGUAACAUAAAACAAAGUUUGAGAAUGGUCCACGUUCUUCAUCAAAAAGAAGUUCAAGAUUGAGUGCAUAGUAGGGGUAUAGAUAGGUCGGGUUGGUUCGAAUUUUACACUUACCAAAUCAAAUUAAUUGUGUCGGGUUAUUAAAUCUAGACACCAAACCAAACCAAUAAAACUCGGGUUUAUCAAUCUUGACUUCGGUUUUUCG
rnacentral:lncRNA from 1 species